ensembl:miRNA mir-1830 ncRNA
CGAGGUUUCACGUUUUCUAGGCCACGCCGCAAAUAGCCAGCUUGUGGCCUAGGAAAUGAGAAAACUCGGC